AAGAUACAAAAAAAAAUUAUCCAGGCAUGGUGGCGCAUGCCGGUAGUCCAGGCUACCUGGCGGGGCGCUGAGAUAGGAAAAUCACUUGAACCUGGGAGGCUGCAGUGAGCUGAGAUCGCACCACUGCACUCCAGCCUAGGUGAGAGUGAGACUGUCUCCAAAAAAAAAAAAAAAAAAAAAAGCACUCAGAACAGUUCUUGGCACACAGUUCCUGCUGAAUAAAAAGGUGGCUGUUAUUAUUGAAGGGGAUAUCACAUAUCAAGGUUAAUGGCCCUGUCCUCAAGGAGCUUAUAUUUGUGCAGAUCCAUGCAGAUGAACCAAGCCAGAAGCAAUAAAUGAGCAAACAAAUGUGAUGCAAAGUCAGUAAGUACAAAAGUACUGAAAGAACACAGCAUAAUCUUCCUAAAAAUUAACAAUCAUCAUCACCACAAGCCAAUAAAGAGAUUCAAAAAUGUUCCACUCAGUCAUUUUUUUUUAGGCAGGUACCUUGGUCCGUAGACAAAAGUGAGUUAGAAUUUGACUCUGACUCCCAGAGGAGUCACAUGUCUCCUCUGAUAAGGAGAGACUCUUAUCAUGUGGCUUCAUAGAGGUGAAUUACCAGACAAGCAAAGAACUCAGCGUAUUCCACCACUGACCUGCCUUUGGGAAUGGGUGGCUCUGCAGGGCUUCAUCAAGAUGAAGAGCUACCCCAGCAGCACCAAUGUGGAGACCGUCAACGAUGGUGCUGAGUCAGCCAUGUUCAAGCAGCUGUUCCAGAAGUGGUCAGUAAAGGACCAGACCAUGGGCCUGGGGAAAACAUUCAGCAUUGGUAAAAUUGGUGAGACUGCCCCCAGAUCAUCCUCUCACUGCUAAGACUCUAGAAAAGCAGGCACAGAUGCUUCUUACUCACUCGGCUUUUCCCAACCCUUUCUCCACAGCUAAAGUUUUCCAGGAUAAAUUUGAUGUGACUCUGCUACACACCAAGCCAGAGGUAGCUGCCCAGGAAAGAAUGGUCGAUGAUGGCAAUGGAAAAGUUGAGAUCUAGACUCUGCUUUUCUUCUCUCUAGGGUGGGACUUCCAGGAAGGGAAAUGUCGAGCCUGACCCUCCAGUAAGACUCUUCCAAAUUCAUGGAAAUGACAAAUCUAACACCAAAGCAGUGGAGGUUCCAGCCUUUGCCUCCUCCCUAAACUCCAAUGAUGUCUUUCUGCUGCGAACUCAGGCAGAGCACUACCUGUGGUAUGGCAAGGUAGGAUGGCUGGGCCCCGGGUCAGACCAGCCCCUCGGAGCCCAGAACUGCACUCCCCUCCUCCUGUCAGCAAGGUCAAAGGACCUAGAGUAGGCUGGAGUGCUUGCUUCAGCAGCACAUAUACUAAAAUUGGAACGAUACAGAGAAGAUUAGCAUGGUCCCUGUGCAAGGAUGGCAUGCAAAUUCAUGAAGCAUUCCAUAUUUAAAAAAAAAAAAAAAAAAAAGCUGGGCAAGGUGGCUCAUGCCUGUAAUCCUAGCACUUUGGGAGGCUGAGGCAGGCGGAUCACGAGGUCAGGAGUUCGAGACCAGCCUGCCCAACAUGGUGAAACUCCAUCUCUACUAAAAAUACAAAAAUCAGCUGGGCAUGGUGGCACCCGCCCAUAGUCCCAGCUACUCAGGAGGCUGAGGCAGAAGAAUCUCUUGAACCAGGGGGCAGAGGUUGCAGUGAGCCGAGAUUGUACCACUGUACUCCAGCCUGGGCGACAGAGUGAGACUCCGUCUC
rnacentral:sRNA from 1 species